CGCACAGGGAAGCUGGGCGCGAGCUCGGAACAGAGGCCGAGAAGGGAGAGAGGAAGCAGGCGCGGUGGCCAGGAGAUCCAGGGCGCGGCGAGCAGAGGGCUUCGCGCGCAGCCAUGGAAGGACUCGCGGCAGCACACGCAGGGAGAUGAGCACGCAACGAGGAAGAAGUAGAGGGAGGGAGAGAAGCAGCUGGGCGCGCAGGGAGAACGCGCCAUGGCUGAGGGAGCUCGGGACACAGGAAUGCCGCGCAGAGGAAGCUCUGCGAGCUGGGAUCUGGCGCCGGGGAAGGAAGAAAGAAGAGCGGAUGUCAGGAGGGGAGGAGACGCGGCUGGGGAGGGACUCGAGCUGGCACCGGCGCACGCCAUGGGAGCAGUGGAGCUGGGCACUAGGGAGCUUGGCCGGCUGGGAUAAACACCAGAGAAGAGCGG
rnacentral:misc_RNA from 1 species